rnacentral:rRNA from 1 species
UGGUGGAGUGAUUUGUCUGGUUAAUUCCGUUAACGAACGAGACCUCGACCUGCUAAAUAGUUCGGUAAGCCCUUGGGCUUACGCGCGACUUCUUAGAGGGACUAUCGGUGGUUAGCCGAUGGAAGUUCGAGGCAAUAACA